rnacentral:lncRNA from 1 species
CUCGGCCGUUCUGUCCCGCGCGAGGCGCACACGUGGCCACGAAGGGCGGCUGCGGUGACCCGGGACAGGAGGCCGAGGCUGUCCUCCGGUCGGGUUCCCUCCCUCCGGGGCGCCAGACAGGAGCUGGGGACAGAGCACCGACUGGGCUGCAGCCCCGGUCCGCAUUCAGCUGUCGGCCAGAGACGAAGGGGAAAGGUGACGCUUCUCUACACCACAGCACGGGCGUCCUGGCCUCCCAGGACCAGGUCCAUGGGGCGCCUCGCGGAGGCUGGGUGCCUAGGUGUGCGCGUGUGUGCACACCUGUGUACGCGAGGGUAUGUGCUUGUGCAUGCGUGUGUGGGUGCGCGUGUAUGCUCGGGUGUGUGCGCGCUACGGUGCGUGUCACAACGUGGAGACCCGCGUCAAGGUGUGGUCCCGUGAACACCUCAGCUGUUUUCUGAGCUUUUCAGGACAGGCGCCCUUAAUGUGGGUCUCACCCCAACCACCACUCACCUUUCCUGCCUCCCCUGUGGACCUUUCCAGCCUUCUCUGUAGGCUCAUUUUCUCCUAGGAGGAAUUCCAGAAUCCAGCACUUCGAACACACACCUGGUCCUCCCGGGUGAAGAUCGGGGCUGGGGGCGCCAGGGUUUACACACCACCCAGGAGGAAAGCUGCCAGACCGCCUCACCCCAUGUGACGGCCAGAACUCGCCUGCAGACCAGAUCGGCUUGUAAAACGUUCAUAUUGUAAGUGUGUCUUUGUGUGUUUUAUUUAUUUACCUGUUGGGGCAUCCUCAAGUUCACGUCGUGGAGAAAAUAUGAAGAAAUCAUGCGAACCAGUCCUGAAGUGUGAUUGUGAGCAGGAGACCUGCUUUUCCAAGUUUCCCUUCCUUUUGGAAUGACUUUACUAGUGACUGCGGAAGGAUCUGCGUCCGUAAGACUUAGCAAGGAGCAGUGCAUCUCUGUGCACGUCAGCGGAAGGAUUCAUCCACACUCAGACGCUGCUUCUCCGUGGGGGAAUUCAUUCUUCCGUGAGAGAGCAGCCGGCUCAGAGUUGGGGACGAUACUUGAGGACCAGAAUCUGGAGGACGCUGUUAUCAGGAUGAAUGACAAUGUUAUGGUGAAGCCUAAGGACUAAUAUGUGAAGAAAUAAUGCAAAUAAAUGAAAAUAUGAAUCAUGAGUAGUGACAAGAUUCCACUGAGGAAAUUUAUUUGAAGCAUUUGGGGAAAAUUUUCAGCUGAGGUGAAUUAGAGGACUGAGAAGCCUAUGAAAGCCCCACUAAACAUUGUGUGUUACAAUCCACUAAGAACACUGGAAGACACAUGGAUCUGAACAAAUCCUACAAUGACUUUCCUUCCACAGGUACUUGGGGCUCACUUUUCAAAUUCUUCUUUUCCAGGAAAUAUGACUGAAUCCAGAAAUUUAUAUCUCAAAAGACAACACAGUCAAAAAACUGAUUUUGAUUGAUGCCCAAAGACAACAAGGGGGAGUUAGGAUAACGAUAUAAAUGUGAGUAGAUGAUGGUGAUGUUUUAAGGUAACAGAUACAGAACAUGUGGCCUCUCAUUCCUGAUAUCAUGUUGGGACAGAAGAGGAAAAGACCUUAGAGAUGAUUAUUGAUAUAUACAGCAGCAAAAAUGAGUCUCAAAAUGAUUAUGCCAAGUGAAAGAAGCCAAGCAAAAAUACGCACGCAUGAUUGCAUUUGUACAAAGCCCUAGAAAAGGUAAACUAACUUACAGCGACAGAACCCACAUGAGUGAGUGCUUGGAGAUGGGUUCAGGGUAGGGUGUUUUAUAAAGGAGCAUGAAGAAACCUCUGGAGAUUAAGCACAUGCUCAUCAUCUUGACGUCUUGGUAGCUUCAUGGAGAUAUAUAUGCAUCAAAACUUACCAAAUUGUACAUGUUAUAUGACACCAUUUUCUUGUGUGGCAACCAUACUUCAUUAAAACAGUUUCUUAAAGGAGAUAAAUGUAGAUUACAGAAAGUCUAUUUGCACCCAGAUUGUGCAGUAAUCUUGACAAAUACUUCCUUGGACAGUACUUAAGAAGACGGGCUCAUUGGACAGUGGAUACCUUUACUUCCUGUGGAACAAAGGCACUUAUUCCAUAGUAAUGCUUAAAAUAAAGCACAACCAUUGCCUCUCUGUGAAACACAGUGCCUCUGCAUUGCAUUGGUGGCAUAGGACAGGUUCUCUUCUGCUGCCAAGAUGCCUUCUGUCUGAUGCCAAAGGUGGUUUGGAUGAAUCCAAACCAGCCCUCAUAUUAUCACCUGAAAGAUGGGGGUUGAAAUAUCUGUGCCACACUUCUCAGACUUAAAAUAGAUGUCCUUACUGAGAAAUAGUUAUACUUUUGUUGGUACCAUGCAAGAUUAUGAGGAUUCAAACAGGAUAUGGCCGCUUCUCUCUAGAAGCUUAUGAUAGAUAUAGAUGAAUAGGAGGGUAGAUAAAUGAGAGAGAGACAGACAAUAGACAAAUCAGUUACAACAUGAGUUUUAUAAUACCAGUAAUGUUAUGAAUAUAUAGAGUAGUAGCACAAAGGACAAGGAGCUAUCUGGGGGUAGAAUAAAUUAUAUUUAUUUGCUUUUUGAAAGAAAAUAUUUCAGCACACAGAGAAGAACCAUGGAGAUUAACCCUGGAGGAAAUGUGGAAAAGCCCAGAGAUACAAGGGAACAGUGUCUGGGGGAUGCUUUGAAAUGUAUCACACUUCUUGGAAACAGUGAGUAUAAGAGGAAGCAGGAGACACUGCAGAAAGUCCUGGGAUGGGCCUGGGUACUGUCCCAAAGAACCUGAGCCAAGGGAUUGGGAGAAUGUGCAAGUAUGUAAUCGAUGUAAAACUACCAUAAAUAUAUUACUGCACUGGAAAAGUAAAAAUUAAUGAACACACUAACAUCAGUGUAAAAAUGCAUUGAUUAAAUAUUUGACUGGUAAAAUAUAUUUCUAGUGUUUAAUAGGCACAUAAUAAUUGUGGAUAUUUAUAGGGUACAGUGUGCUAUUUCAGUACCUGUACACUAUUUGUAAUGAUCAGACUGAGGUAAUCGUCAUAUCCAUCAUUUUAGACAUUUGUAAUUUCUUUGUGUUAAGAGCACCUACCAUCUCCCCUACUAGCUAGCGUGAAGCAGUCGGUCAUAGUUAUUCUACUGUGCAGUACACCAUGCAAAGUCAUCUCCUAUCUGAUAGAAUUCUCUGCUAGAUAACAUGGCCCUGGACAACCCUGCAUCCUAAAAUGGCCCCUGCCUACAGGAAACCAGUCACUCCAGAGAGAACAAAGACCUGCUCUUUCCUGUCUCGCCCUCAGUCAUAGCCAGUCAUCUGCCUCCAUCACACUCCUCCAGCCCUUAUAAACCUCACCCAGCCAAGCCCUGGUUGCUGCUCUCACCAUUGUUCGAGACAGCCUGGCAGCUCUGUCCCUUAAUAAAAGCUCUGCUUUGGGUGUUCGUGUUUCACCUCAUUUUAUUUCUCUCAUUAUUGGUGCUGAACAGCGGGGAGGGAUGUGAUUGGGAUUUUGCGAGGGUCCCCCCACUGGCCAAGGUUGAUUGGCCUCCUGACUGCCCUUGUCGGACCCUGCCAAGCCAACACCCUACCAGGAGCCUUCACUCCUGCCCUUGCUGACUCUUAACAUCCACGCUG